UUUUUAAAUGGGUCAUUCUAUACUGUACCGUAUAACAAACAUUCGUAUUAUACAUUUUCAACCCCUCAAAACUUCAACCAUAUGUGGGAGCGUCUAACUUUCCAUCAGUGCCAGAUCAACGAGACCAAAAAACUUAUUAGUAAUAUUUAGAAUUAGCUGGUCCAGAACUAACAUCCCCGAGUUGAACAGUAUUGCUCAUAAUUUUCUUUUUCAAUUAUUAAAAAACUUUCACUAUGAUUUGUUAAAUAAACGAUUAUCAUGCGACCCUCGUAACCUGUUGAAGGUGAACCUGUAAUCAGCCUGUAAUCAACGGCGACCAUCACAUGUUUGCGGUCUUGAACCCGGGCUAAGACUUUUAAUGAGCCGAUUUUCUGCAGUGAAACCCACAGACAAUAGACGCACAAUUAUCGUGUUUGUCUUGCCUACAGGGACGUAUACAAUACAAGAGGCGUUAAUGACCAGCCGUACACCAUUUUUUUGCAGGAAUCCUGAGUAAUAAUAAAUAAAAAUCUGCUUAAAAUUCUAAUUUUCCAGUUGCCUGCAUAUAAUAUGUCUU